rnacentral:rRNA from 1 species
AUUGAACGCUGGCGGCAGGCCUAACACAUGCAAGUCGAACGAGUGGCGGACGGGUGAGUAAUGUCUGGGAACCUGCCUGAUGGAGGGGGAUAACUACUGGAAACGGUAGCUAAUACCGCAUACCAUCGGAUGUGCCCAGAUGGGAUUAGCUGGUUGGUGGGGUAACGGCUCACCAAGGGGACGAUCCCUAGCUGGGCUGAGGGGAUGACUAGCAACACUGGAACUGAGACAGGGUCCAGACUCCUACGGUAGGCAGCAGUGGGGAAUAUUGCGCAAUGGGGGCAAGCCUGAUGCAGCCAUGCCGCGUGUAUGAAGAAGGCCUUCGGGUUGUAAAGUACUUUCGGCGGGGAGGCGUUACCCGCAGAAGAAGCACCGGCUAACUCCGUGCCAGCCGCCGCGGUAAUUC